UCUGACAUGGACUUACUUCUGUAUCUAGUGUCCAGCUUCUUUGGGGGCACAUCCAUCACCAUUUAGUGACUGUUGCAUCCCAAAAAAAAAGAUGUUAAAAUACUGUAGAAGGGGGGCAGGACUCUUAGCCACUAGACCUGUAUGAGAAUUCUCUCUUGUUUAGAGAUACCAUCUUUCUGUCACUCCUGAAGAGAUGGGAGAUAGCGCUUUUCCUUCGUCCUAAGGGACUGGAUGCAGCUGCUGGGAUAAGUCUGGUUGAAGAUAAGAGAGGAAAAAAAAAGGUGCCCAGAGAGAAUGGCAUUAGCUCCAAAUACGGAGUGGAGAGUAUCCAUCCUGUCCAUGGCCAAGCUGUCACUGUGUCAUGGGCACAAGGAAGAGGUUAAAAAGUCUUGUUCCCUGAGCUUGUUUGAGAUCUGAAUAAACUUGGAUUAGUCAUCUUACUUUCAUUUCUCCAGACUAUAUUGCCUGCUGGGAAAACUUCAUCCGAGGAAAUGCUGCUGAUGAUUCCUGGACUGUGGGCUUUCAAUCAGCGAUAACUAAGAAUCGUUUGAAGCUCCAGGGCGUCUUUGAGACCUCCUGAAAGGCAGGAUAGAGAAGAGAGUGUUCACCAAUAAUGCUGAAAGUUUGUAACCCUGGAGACAAGAGACCCUGCUUGAAUGAAUCCAACACAUCCUUGGCCUGGCAGGACUGUGUACCAAAAGAUAGCAAAACUAAUAUAAGAUCUGCAGCAUUUUGAUUUCAAUGUAUUAGAAAUGCUUUCUAACAAAUGACAUAUUUAGUGAAACAGAGUGAGAGAAAUCUAUGGCUAAGCAGAUCACUGAACAUCUAGGAAAUCCAUUUCAUAUGGCAUCUGUGGGAAAGAAAUAUUCUGGGCUAUCACAAUAUAGACUUCCGCUGUAUCCAUUUCAAAUCACAGCAAGUCCAAAGUGCAAUUGUUAAAGGAUCUUAAUUACAUAUUUUUAUUUUAAUUUCAGGAUCUUCCAUUUAUAGAAUCAUAGAAUUACAGAAUAUCUCAAGGAUAUAUGGAAGGAACCCAUAAGGAUCAUCAUGUCCAACUCCCUGCUCCUUGCAGGACUACCUGAAACUAAACCAUAUGGUUAAAAGUGUCAUCCAGAUGCUCCUUGAAAUCUUUAACAGGCUUGCUUCCAUGACCACUUCCCUGGGGAUACAGUGACCAACCUCUCUCACAGUGAAGAACCUUCUCCUAAUAUCCAAGCUGAACUGCCCCUGAUGCAGCUUCAUUCCAUUUCCUCAUGUCUUCUUGAUGGACACCAGAGAGAGGAGAUCAGCACCAGGAUUACCCUGUCCCAGGUGGAGGAUCUGGUAGUUGCCCUUGUUACAUUUCAUGUAUUUGCCCAGCUCUCUAGUCCAUCCAGAUCUUUCUUUAAGGCCUUUCCGUCCUCGAGGGUGCCCACAGCUCCUCCUAGCUUAGUAUCGUUGGCAAACUUACUUAAUGUAGAUAAUUAAUCCAGAUAAUUUAUAAAACCAUUAAAGUGCAGUGGACUUAAAAUUGAGCCCUUGAGAACCGCACUUGUUUUCUCAAGGAGCCUGACUCCAGAAACAGUUACAGCCCAUUUACUAUAACCCUUUGAGCCUGACUCAUCAGCCAAUUGCUCACCUAGUGUAUGUUUAACUGUGUGCUGGAUGGUUUAUCCAGAAGGAUACUGUGAGAGACAAUAUAAAAAAGGUUUGCUAAAAUCCAAACUCACCACAUCUACUGGCCUCCCUUGGUCAACUAGAUGCGUGACCUUGUCAUAAAAGGAAAUCAAGUUGGAUAAGCAGGAUGUUUUGCUCAUGAACCCACGCUGGCUAUGACCAGUGGCUGCACUGUCUCUCAAGUGUUUUUCAGUAACUCCCAUAAUAACCCUAUCCAUAAUUUUACCAGGCACUGAAGUGAGACAGACAGUACUAUAAUUACCGGGGUCUUCCUUCUCACCAUUCUUGAAAACUGGGACAACAUUUGGAGCUUUCAGAUGACUGGGACCUCUCCAGACUUCCAAAACCAUUGAAAAGUAGUGGAGCCAACCACCCCUCUCAGUCCCCUGGGUUAAAUCCCAUUGGGCCCCGUAGGUUUCUGCACACCCAGUUAGAUGAGCAGCAAGUCUCAAACAAGUUGAGGGCUGUCUGGCAGUUUAUCAUCCUGCAGUCAUGGCCUUCCAACACUGGGUUCCAGGGGACCCAGGGCCCACCACUGGUGUUAACAACAGAGGCAAAGAAGGCAUUAAACACCUCUGCUUUGUCUAUGUCCCUAUUUGUGAGGUGACUGACCCUUCAAGCAAUGGACAAAUGUUAUUUCUGGUCUUCUACUGAGAGAUUUCACCCACAGAAUAUGGCCAGCUGCCUUACUGCUUGUAUGUAGAAGAUAAUCAUAAAAUGUUGCUAACAUUCUCCAGUUUCCAAAAGCUACCAAUAUCUUGGAUAGACAGCUUUCAACUCAGAGUCUUGAUGACAGUGCUAAAGAUCCCUGAUAAAAAACUUCUGGAUGUGGAAAUGGAGGCAGGUAACAGUCAGAAUUAGGAACAGUGUCCCAGGUCCAAUAUUCUGCUAACCUUGUUCUUCCUCUGAUAUGGCCCAGUGGUGCAUACACUGAUUGGAAAAGGACUGCUAAAUUAGCACCCAAAUGAUUGGUUAAUUCAGUGUAACUUCAGCUAAGGCAUUUUCACAAAAACAGGCUGUUUUCUUGACUCUUGAAAAAUGAAUCUUUCUUUGGCAAAGGAUACCAAAAGGAACAUCUCUUAAGAUUUGCUAUCCUCCUAGCUAACCUUGUCUCCUACCUCAUGCUGCAAGAAGAACAACAAAGAACUUAAACUCACAUAAAAUGUCCCAUUGGGAUAGAGAGUAUACUCCAGACUACUUAGUAUCUAGUAGGAAGAAAUGUUUUUUAGGGAGAGCAGACAAGCCUAGCCAUUAUCUGUGGUUCAUUAUGAUCCAGUCACACUACUUUAAUAACCACAAUGACUGUGGCUGGGAGCCCUGCAUCCUUUAAUGUCUGUUUAUGGACUUGUUACCAUGACUUUCGCAGAUCUCUUUUGACCCUGUCCUACCAUCUGUGUCCACAGUUUACUGGUGGUGCAGCAGAUCCAGAAGUUCACAGCUUGCCAUGUAAAUAAAUAUUUGUUUCUGUUUUAAACUGAGGAAUUAAUAACAGUAAGUGCCAGUUCUUGCUAUACUAACAGCUCAUCAUUAAUCACUGAAACACUUGUCUGCAUUUGAAAGACUGUGCUAACCUAGAGAAUUUUCCACUGACUCAGUGGGAGCUAUAAUGCAUAAGUGACAGCAGCGCUUGAUCUCAAAAGAGUAACUUAAAAAAUCCACAAAUGCUCUAUUCAACAGAAGCAAACCCUCCAUCCACCGGGUGGUGUGACUGUGGAAUGAUAAUUACAGUGUCCAUGGUCAUUGCAUUUCAGCAUUUCCACUCAGGUGGCUAAAAGAGGUAAGAAAAUAUUUUUAUCUGCAAGCCCAUGCUGGAACUGGACCACUAGAUGUAUCCACUGGGAGCUCCUCGAAAUACAAGGCAUGUUGGCUGCACAAAGAAGUGCAGGAUGCAGCCUUAUCACUUGCAGUAGUCAAUUUGGGAGGCCUUGUUUGCUCCUUUGUAUUGUGAAGAGGUAUGAAUCCUGCUGUCAGUACUAAGCACUUGGGAAUAGAACCUCUCUCCAUCCCCUACUCCCGAUACUAACUUAUAUUUGCAAGACUUGAACAAAUAUUCAUUGACUUACACCCAUUAUAGUCAUCUAACUCUAAAGCUGUGAUUGGGCCUGCUUCUUCUCUCAUUGGAAUUGCUAAUCUUUUAACAGUCAAUAGAAUUACUCAGAGUUUUGGACCAGUGCAGCCUGAAGAGAAUUUAGCUUAUGGAAACUCAGAGAUGUCAACCUGUAACCCACAAAAUGGCAGCACUCCUCAACUAAAUAAUGUCCACUUAUAGUAGGUGUGUCCUCUUGUUUAGACAUGGGUCUUUACAAGUUCAGGAGCUGAUGCUGUCAAGCUGGUCUUAAAGAGGCAGAGAAAAUUGACGACCCAAGUUCAUGAGCCGAAGAGAAACACAAUGUGAAGACCAAAAUGUGAAACUACUAAGCUCUAUUUCUGAAGUGGACCAAGUAUCCCCUCCUCAAUCUCUAUUGCUGAAGGUCUUUGUAGCUAAUUGUUGGCACAGGUUGACAACCAAAUGAUAUCAUAGUAUACCUGCCUAGCGUCUUUUGGGAUGGUUCUGUUGCUUGUUGAUCCAACACUCAUUAUGUUUAGUUCUUGUAUACAUUGUCCCGUUGGCUUUAGCUUACCACACUCGGCCGCUUUUUGCACUGUAACAAGCUCUUGGACAAAGCAAGGCUGCGACAAUCCUAUGUCACAAGCAAGCAACAACUCCAAUUUUUUUUCACAAUAAAUACUGAAGGCAAUUAUUAUGGUCUCUAUCUCUUAGCAUUGAAGAGCAAGAGAGCAUUAAAACCCCCUUAGCUCCCACUGUCACUAGGGCCUUCCAUUGGCAUACUGCCCGUAGAUUCCAGGAGUUACAUUUAAGCUUACAUCUGCUCUAUUAAUCCCUGCAUGAGCUAUGGUGUGAGUGUGCCUGUCUUCACUGUCACACCCAUGCCUAUGUCUACGCCCAUGGCCAGCCAUGGAUUCUGUUGAUCUGUUUCCUAACCUGUGAAGUGAUUUUCUGUGUUGACCUCAGACCUGUCUCAUCUCUGUGGACCAGCCCUGUGAUCACUGUGCCUGUAUGUGACCUUGGUUGCUAUCACAAGACCUGAUCCCGACCUGAGGAUUGACUUGCCUAGGAUCUGCCUCAUCAGACUAAAAAUGUGGACUUUUGGCUGAACGUGGCUGCUAGCCCUGGGCCGUCCUUGCUCUCCUUUUCUGGCUACACUGGAUGGGCCCUGGCUAGCAAGGCUCCUGCCUUACUGUCUCCUUUAUCUUGCUUGACUUGACUCCUCAUCCCUUAGGGUGUAGCUGGCCCUUGCUGUGCCCUGGUAGUGUCUGGCAAGAGCUGCUGUGACUUGCUCACAGAAAACAGUGGCUCUGGAUACUUGGUCAGUUGUCUAGAUUCUGCUUAUCUAUAAUGCUAUGAAGAAAAGUUUAUUUCAA